UGGGGAAUAUUGCACAAUGGGGGAAACCCUGAUGCAGCGACGCCGCGUGAGCGAAGAAGGUUUUCGAAUCGUACAGCUCUGUCCUAUGGGAAGAUAAUGACGGUACCAUAGGAGGAAGCCCCGGCUAACUACGUGCUAGCAGCCGCGGUAAUACGUAGGGGGCAAGCGUUGUCCGGAAUCACUGGGCGUAAAGGGUUCGCAGGCGGAAAUGCAAGUCAGUUGUGAAAGGCAGAGGCUCAACCUCUGUAAGCAAUUGAAACUGUAUUUCUUGAGAUGUGGGGAGGCAAGUGGAAUUCCUAGUGUAGCGGUGAAAUGCGUAGAUAUUAGGAAGAAUACCGGUGGCGAAGGCGACUUGCUGGACACAAACUGACGCUGAGGAACGAAAGCAUGGGUAGCAAACAGG
rnacentral:rRNA from 1 species